UAAGUAAGCGGAGGAUAAGAAACUAAAUAGGAUUCCCUUAGUAAUGGCGAAUGAACAGGGAUUAGCUCAGCAUGGAAAUCGGGGCCUCUGGCCUUGAAUUGUAGUCUGGGGAUGUACUGCCAACGGAGGCGCAGGUGUAAGCCUCUUGGAAAAGAGCAUCAACGAGGGUGAGAGUCCCGCUUGUCACCUGCAGUCCCCCGUGCACGGUGUACUUUCUAAGAGUCACGUUCCUCGGGAUUGGAGCGCAAAGUGGGUGGUAAAUUUCAUCUAAAGCUAAAUAUUGGUUCGAGACCGAUAGCAAACAAGUACCAUGAGGGAAAGGUGAAAAGGACUUUGAAAAGAGAGUUAAAAGUGCCUGAAAUUGCUGAAAGGGAAGCGAAUGGAACCAGUGUGCCUUGGCGAGAUUGUUGCGCGCUAAUGUGAUGAGUUGCUGCUUCAGCGCAAGCGUGGCAGUAGCUUUUGAUCAGGACGUGCGUGGUGCUUCUCGUCUUGCGUGUCAUCUUCAGUUCACAUUUGAUGAAAACGCCAAGGACACGGUAGCUCGCCUCUGGGUGUGUGAAUUUGCUUGGUGGAAUUCAUGUGUGUACUGCUUGCUGACUGAAUGGUUCCUUUCG
rnacentral:rRNA from 1 species